UACGAAGGGGGCUAGCGUUGUUCGGAUUUACUGGGCGUAAAGCGCACGUAGGCGGAUAUUCAAGUCGGAGGUGAAAUCCCAGGGCUCAACCCUGGAACUGCCUUCGAUACUGGAUAUCUCGAGUAUGGAAGAGGUGAGUGGAAUUCCGAGUGUAGAGGUAAAAUUCGUAGAUAUUCGGAGGAACACCAGUGGCGAAGGCGGCUCACUGGACCAUUACUGACGCUGAGGUGCGAAAGCGUGGGGAGCAAACA
rnacentral:rRNA from 1 species